GGGGCAUUAGCUCAGUUGGUAGAGCACCUGCAUGGCAUGCAGGGGGUCAGCGGUUCGAAUCCGCUAUGCUCCAC
rnacentral:tRNA from 1 species